rnacentral:lncRNA from 1 species
AAAAUUUGAUUAAUUGUGUUUUCCAACACCCAAAAUUUAUGAUAAUGAAUAACGGUGAGACUCAACCAUCCUAUUUUUCUAUGUUAUCACCAACCUCAUCAAAAUUCGAAAAUAAACUUUUAUGUACUGAAUCGUGUUUUUUUUUUUUUUUUUGUAAGGUACAAGAAGAUGGAAGAACUUGUUGUUUACUGUGAAAGGAGUAGCCAAAUGGGGGAGGCGGUAGAUAUUGGUGGUGCAAUUUUUAGGACCAUGUUGAAUUUACUUUCCAACACUCUAUUCUCAAAGGACUUGGCAGAUCCGUAUGAAAAUUCGGGUAAAGAAUUUAAGGAUUUGGUGGAGGGACUAAUGAUAGACAUGGGUAAACCAAACUGGGUGGAUUACUUUCCAGUGCUAAAAUUAGUAGAUCCACAAGGACUAAGGCGAUAUAAUUCUCACUUCGGUAAGCUACUAAAGUUUUUUAAUGGAUUGAUAAAUGAGAGGAUGGAGCUAAGGAAGUUGAAGGGACAAAAGAGUAGUGAUGUUUUAGACACCUUACUCACAGCCAGUGAAGAUAAUCCACAAGAUAUUGAUCGCAAGCAUAUAGCUACAAUACUUUUGGUGAGCUAUCUUUAAUUAAUACUCACUACUUUGAGAAUAUCACUUACCUUUAUAGUGUUGAUUGUUGUUUAUUCUUCCACAUAGUUUGUGGAUGGGUGUUUCGUGUCCUAAUAUAUUUUUGGACAAUAUUAUGAACAUGAGCUAUAGCAUUUGAUGAAUUGAGAUAGACCAGAUCAGGUUCAUUUUUUUAUCAUCAUAUCAAAGUCAGGUCCCAUGUUUGAAGCAUUUAUUGAACAUGCAUAUAGUAUUUUUCAAAUUAUGAAUUCAAAAUUAAAAAUCAUUUCACUAGAUUUUAGUUUGAUUUCCAGUAGUGGUCCUUGUUUUUAAAAAAGCAAAUUGAAGUCCAUUUCUAGUACUUGUUCAGUGUGCCCCGUCUCUUUGAAUUAUCAAAAUCUAAUACUAGUAUUUUUUUUUUCCAAUUAUAUAUCUAUGUUUCGUGUUAUAAAUAUUUAAUCCAGUUGAACAUACAUCAAAUAUAACAUGCCUAAGUGGUUUCGGUGAGUAAUUUUCAGCUCAAAGUUGUCGUUGUAUCUCAGGACCUAUUUAAUGCCGGAACUGAUACAAGUUCGAAUGUAGUGGAAUGGGCUAUGACUGAGCUUCUUAGAUCUCCAGAGAUUAUGAAGAAAGUCCAAGCCGAGCUGGUACAAGUCCUCGGAGAAGGUAACCCGAUGGAGGAAGCUGACAUUGCCCGACUCCCUUACUUGCAGUGCAUUAUUAAAGAAACUUACAGGAUGCACCCUCCAGCUCCUCUUUUGGUUCCUCGAAAAGUUGAGGAAGAUGUUGAGGUGUGUGGCUACACUGUCCCUAAAGGUUCAAAAGUGUUGAUAAAUGUGUGGGCAAUUGGCCGGGACUCGACUCUAUGGGAAGACCCUUUGGUGUUUAAUCCUGAUAGAUUUAAGGAUUCAAAAUUGGAUGUGCGAGGUCAAAAUUUUGAGUUAAUUCCAUUUGGUGCUGGUCGAAGAAUUUGUCCUGGUCUGCCAUUGGCAAUAAGGAUGAUCCCAGUAAUGCUUGGCACACUGUUAAAUACAUUUAAUUGGAAAAUUGAAGGUGACAUUGCACCAAAAGACAUGGACAUGCAGGAGAAAUUUGGCCUCACCUUGGCCAAACUUCGUCCUCUCCGAGCUGUCCCACUUCCCCUUUAAAAUCCAAAAUUAGUUGGAUUCCUAUCAAAGGCAAUGGACUAUGAACAUUGUAACUAAUAUUUCAAGUCCAAAAAAUUAAAAAAUAAAUAAUAAUUUAAUAUAAGUACAAAUUUAUGUAAUUUUGUAUUGAAAAAUAUUAAAGUUUCGUCAGUAAAUGCAAGGGAAUUUGAAGACUUUAAGUUCGUUCAUGCGCGCACAACGCAUUUGAGAUGUAAUUCAUCUCCUUUAAUAAUUACCUCAUGUUUAGUAAUUUAGUUUUACGUACGUCUCUUUAUGCCUUGAUCCAUUAAUUUGCCUCUGUAUAAUUAUAGUUAGGUCUUCAGAAUUAUAUGAAAAAAGUAAGCAUACACGAUGUCUCAUAUCCAUGUAUACGUAUAUUCUUUUUCUCUUAUAUUACUACUUGAGUAUAGGUUUUAAAUAUAUAUUUAAUGGCUAUAAUACUUUUACACCAUCAGGUUUAAUAGUAUGUAAUUAUAUAUAAUAUUUUUUUCAUUUGUCUGUUUGUUUGACGGUAAACAAAAUUUAAAAGUAAAGAAGAUUUGUGAUUUUUUUAAUUUUAAAUUAAAUAAUUUGUUAAAUAAACUAACACUAAAUUUUCGUGUACAUUAUGUGGAUCUACAUAUUGCUGUGACAUUUUUAAAUUACUUUUUUUUCCUUGCUGUGAAUAUAUGGGAACUUGAGGGGCAAACGCUGCGAGGCCGAACCCACAAGGAGCCGGGGCGGACCUAGAGGUUGUUGAGGGGUUCAUUCGAACCCAUUUGGUAAAAAAUUACAUUGUAUAUUUAAUAUAUUUUAAAGAUUUUUUAUGUCUCUAUAUUGAUAUUGAACCUCCUAAAUGUAAGAUUAGAGAUUGAAUUAGUGGUUGAGGGGUUCCAAACUCACCUUGAGGUUCCAAUAUCAAAUCUUAGGCAAUACUAUUUUUUUUUUUCAAACCCCCUUAAUGGAAUAAGAACUCUUAUUCAUUAUAUAAAAAUGUUAAUACUAAUAUAAAAAUAUGUUAUUAAAUUUAAAACAGAUUAAAAAAAAAGUAAGUCAUAUAAAUUGUAAUAGAGGGAGUACAUUAACUUUCAAUAGUUACGUAUUACUAUUACAUAUUUUGGGGAGAGAUAGAGUAAGGGGUCGUUUGGUAUGCUGGGAUAAGUUAUGAUGAGAAAAGUUAUAUUGAGAUAAGAUAAUGAAAUUAUUUUUUAUUGGUUGUUUGGUUUGUCAAAUAUGCAUGACAUAUUUUUAAGAAUAUUUGUUUGUUUACAAAAAUAACCUCUAAGAAUAAGUUGUUUGUUUAUAAAAGAGAGUUUAAGGGAUAUUUAUUUUAUAUUUUUAUUUGGGAUACGUUAUUUCGGAGUUAGUAUUCCAACCACAAGUAGAGAUAGUUUAUUUAGUCAUAAUUAUUAAUCCUGAUAUAAUUAGUUACCCCACAUUUUGUAACCAAACAAAAAACUGAGGGUACUAAAAUCUAAAAUUAUUUUUUCUUGACCAUCACAUCAAACGACAAAAAUGCGUCGACCGCUUGGUUUUAAUGGAUAACAACAAGAGAGUCCGUCAUCAUACUUUUUCCCAUGUGAACCAAUAAUGCAUUCUGCUGCAGCAGGGAAAAUGUGGUGAAACGUACUCCACAAAUGAAUCAAUUCUGAGAACAUGAGGGGUCAUGGUACGGUCAAUAUGGUGGAACAUCUGAAAAUUGAUAUUUUUGAAAUUGUUAUUUUGAUUUGGUGAUUUUUUUUUAUAUAUGACACGAUAUUCGAUGUUUAUAAUAUAUAAUGAAAUAUUGAAUACUAUAUCGAAAUAAAUAGUUACAUUAUAAGUCAUAUAUUAGCAAAUAUAAAAAAUAGUAUUAAUAGAAAAUUAAUUAUUUAGAUGUUUGAAUUUUGAUUGAGUUGUUUUUGUGUAAUUGAUUGAUGAAGGAAAUUAUUUGUAUUUUUUUUAAAAAAAAAUUCUACAGGUAUAAAAUAUUAUGCUAGUAUGAUAUAAUUCAAACGUUUUUUAAAAAUUUGAAUUUAUAAUUCUUUAUCAUUUAAGUAUAUAUGUCAAUCGAAGUAAAAUAAAUCAUCAGUAUCAAUUUCUCAUAAUUACAAAAUACUGAAACAAACUUUAAAACAUUGAAUCAUACCAAAUGAACUUGAUAAAAUAAUAAUAUAGUAGAUAGUACUUUUAAAAACCGACAAUCAAAAUUAUGGAACUGAAAUGGUAAAUAUCAUACAAUACCCAACCCUACUGUUACAGUAUUAAUUUUGACAUUCUACGGUAUAUACCACUAUAAAUACAUGUCUAGAACUCAUGAUCUUGAUCAUAUAGCCAGUGAUAAAUUAGUUAAACGCAUUUUUUUUUUAUAACGUUAAAGAGUAUGGAUUAUUAUUAUUAUUAUUAUUAUACCACUCCUCUAGCUCUCUUGCUUGCCUGGACUUUGGUCCAAGGCUUCAAUUUGUUAGUAGCAUUAACAACAAGUAGAAACAGAAAGCUUCCUCCAGGACCUUUUCCAUUACCCAUAAUCGGAAAUCUUCACUUACUGGGCAAUCAACCUCAUAAAUCCCUUGCCAAACUCGCCGAUUUUCAUGGCCCAAUUAUGCGUCUGAAUUUGGGGCAAAUAACAACUGUGGUGAUUUCUUCUUCAAACAUGGCCAAACAAGUGCUCCAAAAGCAAGAUUCAGCCUUUUCUAGCAGGUCAAUUCCUGAUAUAGUCAAAGAGGAAAAUUUUCACAUGUUCUCCGUUGGUUGGCUUCCUGCUUCCCAUCCUCAAUGGAGAACUCUCCGCAAAAUCAUGACUUCCCACAUCUUCUCCAUUAACAAGCUUGAUGCCAGUCAGCACCUUAGGUACGUAUUGUGUGACUACGUCUUCAUCUAAAAAUUUAAACAGUUAAAGAAAUCAAACUUUGUUUAAUUAAUUAUGUUUUCCUUAGAAGCUAGAUAUUUUUGAUAACAAUGAUAGUGAGAUUUGACUCAGAACUUCUAUUUGCUCUAAUAUCUCAAAAUUCUUUGGGCUCGUUUGGACAAUGUGAUAUGAAAUCAGGUUGAUAUAAAGGUGAGACACGCAAUUUAAAUUUUUGAAGAUGUAUUUUUUCUCAUAAAUAGGAAAAUUCUACAAGUUGUGAAAACCAUAGAAAAAUUUCAAUUCUAAUACAAUAUUACCAAAUAAGCAAAUUAUAGUUCAUAAAUUUCUAAUACAAUCUUACCAAAUAAGCAAAUAAUAGUUCAUAAAUAAGAUAUCGUGAUAUCCUAAGACGAUACAUUGACAAAUCAUGUAUCUUUAUGUUUCUUUUAUAAAUAACUUCCAAAUACAACUAAUUUUAUAAAGAUCCACUAGUCAAUGAAAAUACUACUCAGUAACUAGUUAUUGUUUAAUAUAAUCUUUAAGACAGUGUACAUACAAUUUCUUUAUGCUAAACAUGAGUCUUUUUUUUCUUUUCGCAACGAUGGAUCUUUUUUUACAAAAUUUGAAAGCAUGAUUCGACAUGUUAAAUCACAUAGAAAUUUUGAUUUUUCAAAUCACAUGUCCUAACUCCUGGCUCUGAUUUUAACUAAUGAUUUUAUAUCACAUAUAAAAAAAUAAUUAAGUUAAACUGCUAGAGAAAACACAUGAGUUUUACACUAAUUAUUUACUUAAUCAUGUUUUUUAUAAGGUACAAGAAGAUCCAAGAACUUGUUGCUUACUGUAAAAGGAGUAGCCAAAUGGGGGAGGCGGUACAUAUUGAUGAUGCAAUUUUCAGGACCAUGUUGAACUUACUUUCUAACACUCUCUUCUCAAAGGACUUGGCAGAUCCGUAUGAAAAUUCUGGUAAAGAAUUUAAGGAAUUGAUGGAGGGAAUGAUGAUGGACAUGGGUAAACCAAAAUUGGUAGACUACUUUCCCGUCCUGAAAAUAGUACAUCCGGAAGGUCUAAGGCGAUAUAAUUCUCGUUUGGGGAAACUACUAAAGCUAUUUUAUGGAUUCAUAAAUGAGAGGCUGGAGAUAAGGAAAUCCCCAAAUUAUCAAAACACUGAUGUUUUAGAUGCCUUAAUCACAACAAGUGAACAGAAUCCCCAAGAAAUUGAUCACAUGCAUAUAGCAACAAUGUGUUUGGUGAGCUAUCUUUAAUUCUCUUUCUAUUUUUAAUUGAUUGGCCUGGGGGGUUUGCAAUAAACCCUCGUGAGUCCUGACCCACAAAAGUAAAAGUUCAUGCUAACCAACUAAGUUACUAAAUGAAGAUCUGUUGUAGAAAGGAUAUAAAAUUAAAAACAAGUUUGUGGAGGGCUACACAACUAAAUUUUACCACCUAUGUUUCCUGUUGACAAAUACUGAAAUCAUUAAAUAUGCCUGCAUUGGUGAAUUAUCUGUAUGUGGCCGGUUUGCAUGAUUAAUUUCAUGAGUAAUUUUCACCUCAAAAUUGUGUGCGUAUCUCAGGACCUAUUUGAUGCCGGAACUGACUCAAGUUCCGGCGUAGUGGAAUGGGCUAUGACUGAGCUUCUUAAAGCUCCAGAGAUUAUGAAGAGAGUCCAAGCCGAGUUAAUACAAGUUCUCGGAGAAGGCAACGCGAUGGAGGAAGCUGAUGUUGCCCGACUCCCGUACUUGCAGUGCAUUAUCAAAGAAACUUACAGGAUGCACCCUCCAGCUCCUUUUUUGGUACCUCGAAAAGUAGAGCAAGAUGUUGAGGUGUGUGGCUACACUGUCCCUAAAGAUUCAAAAGUGUUGAUUAAUGUGUGGGCAAUUGGCCGAGACUCAACUUUUUGGGAAGACCCUUUGGUGUUUAAUCCUGAUAGAUUUAAGGAUUCAAAAUUGGAUGUGCGAGGUCAAGAUUUUGAGUUAAUUCCAUUUGGCGCUGGUAGAAGAAUUUGUCCUGGUAUGCCAUUGGCAAUAAGGAUGAUCCCAGUAAUGCUUGGCACACUGUUGAAUACAUUUAAAUGGAAAAUUGAGGGUGACAUUGAACCAAAAGACUUGGACAUGCAGGAGAAAUUUGGCCUCACCUUAACCAAACUUCGUCCUCUCAGAGCUGUCCCACUUCCACUAUGAAAUCCAAAAUCAGAUGGCUUCCUACAAAAGGCAAUGUUUUAUGGAUGAUGAAAACAUUGUAACUAACAUUUCAUUUCCAAUAAAUAAAUAAUUUAGUAUAUGUACAUUUUGUAGGGAAGGAAAUUAUAGUUACUUCCUAAGAAAGAGAUGGGGAAGAAAAUGAGGUGAAUCGUACUCCACAUAUUAAAUGUCAAACCAUUUAUUAGAUGGCCAAUAAUAAAUGUUACUCAUUUGAUAGGUCACCCUAAAUAUAUUAGUACAACAUGUUUAAAAAAAAAUAUUGAAAUAUCAAAUGAGGUAAAUAGUCAUAUAUAUGUAUCAUAUAAUAGUAAAUAUAUAAAAUAAUAUUAGUAAAAUUAAUUAUUUAGAUGUUUGAAUUAUGAUUCAUGAUAAGAAGGGAAUCGUUUGUAUUAUUUAUUUAUAUUGAAUAUUUUUAUACGUGUAAAAUGCUACUUUAGUGUAAUUUAAUUGAGAAGUUUUUUGAAAAAUCAAAAUUAUAUUUCUAUAUAACAUUGAACCAUAGAUAUGAAUUUAAUAUGAUAAUGAUAAUAUUUUUAAAUUUGAUAAUUGAAAUUAUCGAACUAAAAUGGUAGAUUUAGUAGCAUAUCAUCCCUAUUACUAGUAACGCCCGACUUCCCCUUAAAUUUAAUAGUCAGCGACUUAGCGUGUUACACAUUUCGCCGAUUGAGUGAUCAAAAACUGUUAUUCGUUAGAUAAGCUUGUUCUAUUGACACUCUUCCACAGUAUAUACCACCAUAAAUUUAUGUCUAAAACUCAUGUUCUUUUUUAUGUUAAUUAGUAGUAAUAACUAUGGAUUAUUAUUACUAUUUUACCACUCCUCUAGCUCUGUUGCUUGCAUGGACUUUGGUCCAAGGCUUCAAUUUGUUACUAGUAGCACUAACAAGAAAUAGAAGCAGAAAGCUUCGUCCAGGACCCUUUCCAUUACCCAUAAUCGGAAAUCUUCACUUACUGGGCAAUCAACCUCAUAAAUCCCUUGCGAAACUCACCGAUUUUCAUGGCCCAAUUAUGCGUCUGAAGUUGGGGCAAAUAACAACAGUGGUCAUUUCUUCUUCAGACAUGGCCAAACAAGUGCUCCAAAAGCAAGACUUAGCCUUCUCUAGCAGGUCAAUUCCUGAUAUAGUCCAAGAGGACAAUUUUCACAUAUUCUCCUUUGGUUGGCUUCCUGCCUCCCAUCCUCAAUGGAGAUCUCUCCGCAAAAUCCUGAAUUCCCACAUCUUCUCCGUUAACAAGCUUGAUGCCACCCAGCACCUUAGG